UACAGAGGGGGCAAGCGUUGUUCGGAAUUACUGGGCGUAAAGGGCGCGUAGGCGGCUUGUUAAGUCGAACGUGAAAUCCCCGGGCUCAACCCGGGAACUGCGUCCGAUACUGGCAGGCUUGAAUCCGGGAGAGGGAUGCGGAAUUCCAGGUGUAGCGGUGAAAUGCGUAGAUAUCUGGAGGAACACCGGUGGCGAAGGCGGCAUCCUGGACCGGCAUUGACGCUGAGGCGCGAAAGCCAGGGGAGCAAACGGG
rnacentral:rRNA from 1 species